rnacentral:rRNA from 1 species
GACGAACGCUGGCGGCGUGCUUAACACAUGCAAGUCGAACGGAAAGGCCCUGCUUUUGUGGGUUGCUCGAUUGGCGAACGGGUGAGUAACACGUGUGUAACCUGCCCUUGUCUUUGGGAUAACUUCAGGAAACUGGGGCUCAUACCGGAUAGGAGCUCCUGCUGCAUGGUGGGGGUUGGAAAGUUUCGGCGGUUGGGGAUGGACUCGCGGGUUAUCAGCUUGUUGGUGGGGUAGUGGCUUACCAAGGCUUUGACGGGUAGCCGGCCUGAGAGGGUGACCGGCCACAUUGGGACUGAGAUACGGCCCAGACGCCUACGGGAGGCAGCAGUGGGGAAUAUUGCACAAUGGGCGGAAGCCUGAUGCAGCAACGCCGCGUGCUGGAUGACGGCCUUCGGGUGGUAAACCGCUUUCGCCUGUGACGAAGCGUGAGUGACGGUAAUGGGUAAAGAAGCACCGGCUAACUACGUG